CAGCAGAGGCAACAUCUUCUGGCCGCGCAGGCUCUUCCGGAAGGUCUCGAGCACCAGGUCUGGUGCGGGUGGGGGAGAGAGGGUGAGUGGGGGGCAGAGGCUGGGGCUGGAGGGGGUGGGGAGGGUGUGAGGGGUGGGACCCAGGUGAGCUGAGGUGUGGGGAAGGUUGGGGCAGGGGGCGGCGCUGCCACACAGGCCCUCGGGAGGUGGAAGAGCCCCAUCUGUGGGGGUCUGAACUUGGGAAGAGGGCAGGUAGGCAUUCAAGACUGGGCAGGUUGUGGGGGUGUGGGGUGGGGGCUUGGAGGCUCACCCAGGGUCUCGAUGACCACACCUGGGAUGACCUCCUUCAGGACCUCGCAGUUGGUGUGCAGGGCUGGGUUAGAAUUCAUCUCCAGCAGCCAUACCUGCCCCAGACGCCAGUCAGUCCCUCCUCACCCCGAGCCCACUGGGCCAGCAGGAGGCAGAGGCCCUGGUCCUCAUUCAGACAGAUGGCUCUGGGAGAUUGCUUCCUUCCUAUAGCCUUGCUCCCCUGUUUGUCCACUGAAGCUCUGAGGGUCUGAAGCUCUGGCCUGAGGGGGCUGCUCUGAGGAGGGGGUGCAGUUCCAUCCUAGCUGCACAGGGGGACAGCACCUUGAAGUUGUCAUCAAUCAGGAAGUCACAGCCAAUGAGGUCAAAGUAACCCAGCUUGCAGUCCAGCUUGGGCUUGGCGGCCAGAAAGCAGUGGGCCAUGAUCUGCUGCAUCCGCUUCUGCAGGGAGGCAGGGAGGCAUCCUGGCUGCGGCCCGUAGGCCCUGAUCACACCCCAGGUCUGAACAGCCACAGCCACAUCCCUCACCUGCACUCCCAUCUGAACCCGCACCUGUACAGCCACACCUGCCCACACGUUCGUGCACUCAGCCUCACAGGUUCACAGCCAGAAACUCACUCAACAAACUCGUGCAGCUCCUGUCCUGUGUCAGGCACUGGAGAUACGAGAGUGAGGAAAACUCACAGGAAAUCUCUGCCCUUGAGCAGAAGAGACGGAUAGCAAAUGGGAUACGUAAAAUCUCGAAUCUUGUUCCUUGGAAGAUCCCAUUUGAAAGGACUAACAGAAAGUGUGAGGGCCAGGCACGUGGCUCACACCUGUAGUCCCAGCAGUUUGGGAGGCUGAGGCAGGAGGAUUGCUUGAGCUCAGGAGUUUGAGACCAGCCUGGCCAACAUGGUGAGACCCCAUCUCUACUAGAAAUACACAAGUUGGUCGGGCGCGUGGCUCACACCUGUAGUCCCAGCACUUUGGGAGGCUGAGGCAGGAGGAUCGCUUGAGCUCAGGAGUCUGAGAUCAGCCUGGGCAAUAUAGGGAGACCUUGUCUCUACCAAAAAAUUAGCAAAAUUAGCUAAGCGUGGUGGUGUAUGCCUGUAGUCCCACCUACUUGGGAGGCUGAGGUGGGAGGACUGCUUGAGCCCAAGAGGCAGAGGCUGUGGUAAGCUGAGAUUGUGCCACUGCACUCUAGCCUGGGUGACACAGUGAGACUGUCUAAAAAAAAGAAGUAUGGGCCGGGCACAGUGGCUCACGUCUGUAAUCCCAGCACUUUGGGAAGCUGAGGUGGGUGGAUCACCUGAGGUCAGGAGUUCGAGACAAGCCUUGCCAACAUGGUGAAACCCUGCCUCUACUAAAACUAAAAAAAAAAAAAAAAAAGUAUGACGAUGAUGUCUUAUCAAAUAAUAGAGAAUACUGGUGAAGAGAGAAAAAUUAUAAAAGAGAAUCAAAUAGAAAUUCUGAAGUUGAAAAGUAGAACAAAAGUAGAACAAAUAAAACAUGCACUAGAAGUGCUCAACAGCAGAUUUGAAUUGUUUGCAGAUAGGCCAAUUGAGAUUAUUUAGUCUGAGGAACAGAAAGAAAAAGGAGGCCGGGUGCAGUGGCUUCACACCUGUAAUCCCAGCACUUUGGGAGGCCAAGGCAGGGGGAUCGCUUGAGGUCAGGAGUUUGAGACCAGCCUGGCCAACAUUGUGAAACCUCGUCUCUACUAAAUAUACAAAAAUUAGCCAGAUGUGAUGGUGCGUGCCUGUAGUCCCAGCUACUUGGGAGGCUGGUAGGCCGGAGGAUUGCUUGAGCCCAGAAGGAGGAGGCUGCAGUGAGCUGAGAUUGCACCACUGCACUCCAUCUUGGGUGACAGAAACCCUGUCUCAAAACAAAAAAUGAAAGAGAGAGAGAGAGGGAAGAAAAAUAAAGCCUCAGAGACUUGUGGGUGGGACACUGUCAAAUGGACCAACAUAUGCAUAAUGGGAGUCCCAGAAGGAGAGAAGAGAAAGGAGCAGAAACAAUAUUUGAAAAAAUAAUGGCAGAAAACUUCCCAGUUUAAUGAAAAACAACCUACACAUUCAAGAAGCUCAAUGAACUCAAAGUAGGAUAAACUCAGAGAUCCACCACCUCAUCAGCAAACUUCCAAAAGACAGAGAACGUCGAAAUCAGCAGGAGAGAAGCCGCUCGUUAUGUAUGAGGCAUCCACAGAAAGAUGAACAGCCAGUUUCUCAUUAGAGGUCGUGAGGUGGGCAGGCAGUGGGAUGGCACAAAUUCCCAAAAGUAAAAAUACUGUUGACCAAAAAUUCUACAUCUAGCAAAAGCUGCUUCAAAAAUGAAGGGGAGAUUAAGACAUUCCCAGAUAAACAAAGGUAGACCCGCCCUACCGUCCUUCAGGCUGAAAUGAAAAGACACUAGACAGUAACUGGAACUCACAGGAGGAAAUAAAGAGCCCCAGAAAAGGUCAUUGUGUAAUUAAAUAUAAGAGACAGCAUACAUGUAUUUUUUUGUAUGUGAUUGUUUUGUCCUAAAAGACAACUGUAUACAACAAUAAUUAUGAAUCCAUGUUGAUGGACACAAAUAUACUGAGCUGUAAUUUGUGACAACAGCAUGAGAGGGGUGGGGCUGUGUAGGAGGAGUGUUUUUGUAUACUUUUAGGAGCAGUGU
rnacentral:lncRNA from 1 species